GACGAACGCUGGCGGCGUGCUUAACACAUGCAAGUCGAACGGAAAGGCCCUGCUUUUGUGGGGUGCUCGAGUGGCGAACGGGUGAGUAACACGUGAGUAACCUGCCCUUGACUUUGGGAUAACUUCAGGAAACUGGGUCUAAUACCGGCUAGGAGCUCCUGCUGCAUGGUGGGGGUUGGAAAGUUUCGGCGGUUGGGGAUGGACUCGCGGCUUAUCAGCUUGUUGGUGGGGUAGUGGCUUACCAAGGCUUUGACGGGUAGCCGGCCUGAGAGGGUGACCGGCCACAGUGGGACUGAGAUGCGGCCCAGACUACUACGGGAGGAAGCAGUGGGGAAGAUUGCACAAUGGGCGGAAGCCUGAUGCAGCAACGCCGCGGGCGGGAUGACGGCCUUCGGGUUGUAAACCGCUUUCGCCUGUGACGAAGCGUGAGUGACGGUAAUGGGUAAAGAAGCACCGGCUAACUACGUG
rnacentral:rRNA from 1 species